AGAGUGGUUGGGAGAGACAGAGAGAGAGAGAGAGAGAGAGAGAACCUGGGAAUUGGAAGAAAAAAAAGAAGCGAGAGUGUCUGCUUGGGACCUUCUAAAGAUGGGCAAAGAGAGUGUUGAAAUAAGGAGACAGAUUAUUGAAAAAAGAGAGAAAAAUCCAGUCUUGGCCUUUCUUAAACACACCUGCCUGAAGAUCUGAAGGCAAUAAUGGAUCCAGACAGUGUGCGGUCCAACCCUUCCUUCUAUCAAAUGGUCCUUUAACUGCGUCUGAAAGGCAGCACAUCUCAAGCAAUGCUUGAAACUACAGCAAAAUAAGUGCUUCCGCCCUUCGCAGCACCUGGUCACAAUUGCCUCUUAUCACACAGAAACGCUCCAGCUGCCCCUAAGUUUGGUUCCUCUGAGCAUUCGGCUUGUGCCCCGCCCCUCCCCUCCAGCAUAAUAGGGGAACAUCACGACGCAAAUGGCUCAGAAAUACCCACACACGCUGCCAUGGUGUUGGCAUGUACUUCUUCCAAAUCUGCUCUUGUGAGAAAGUGUUCUCUGGGGGAAACUAACAAAACAGGAUACUUCACCACGAAGACGCUGAGCAUUCAGAUAUCAGCUGCACCUUCCUCCUUUAUCCAUGUUCAAAAUAGCCCAAACACAGACGAGGGUCUCUGGAAUCCUGUCAUGGAGACCAACCUUUCAUAAAGGAAAGAGUCCAGAAGUGCCGAAAGUUCAGUGGGAAUUCACGCUGGACUCCAUCUGCCAUUGGAGCUUGGACUUCAGGCAAUUUGGAUCUUGGUAGGUGUUGAGGCGGCUGCCAAGGUUGGAAAGAGCUUGGUAAACAGCAAGGAAGAGUAAGGUACAGCAUGUCCAGCAGGAGGAGGAGCAUGAGCAAAGCACAAAGGAGCUGGGGAAAAUACUGGCGAGUUUGAGGAAGGAUGGAAAUGGGGAGCUUAUGGAAUAGAAGGCAUGGGUAGAAGAGAAAAGUUAGCAGGGACAAAGCCAGCAAGGUAGCCUGCUGCUCUCUGUGUGUCCGCAUAUCCACCACCCAGUGCAGGCUGACCAGCAUGGAUCACGUGGACAGGCUCUCUGCCCUCUGGCCUCCUGUUGUUCUGCCACUGGGAAGCAGUGGCAGGAGUCAGGGUUGGGGAGGAAGCAAGGUCCAUCCACCAGCUGUCUAUAUCCCUCCAUCAAAGAUCACUGCCCCUGGCUAGUGACCCUCUCCACACAGCCCUGUCUGGUGGCAGCCAUGAUCUCUUCCCCUUAUACCUUCAGGCCUAAAAGUGUUAACAGUGCCUUCCUGUUCGUGGCCCCAGGGUCCUGACUGUCCCUUACAGUUUUCCUAGACCUUGGCUGCACCUUUGUAAAUAUCCACUUUAUUAAACUCUGCUCAAAUUACCCAGUUUGAGGAUGCCAUCUUUUCCCUGUAGGAUCCCUGACUAUUACAGGUAGCUUGUGCAAUACGCCCUCGUGAAAGAGUCUGCACUUUAUCCUGAAGACAAAGAGCAGGCAGGGAACCAAAAUGAAGAACUCUGCAAAGGCCAGCUCAAAGAAUCACUGAUGGUAAUAAAUGGUAGCACACUUGAGCUUGUCUCUUUCUUCUCCAGGGGACAGCCCUCUUUGGCAGGGAAGGAGCUGGGAAGAAGACACAGGAGCCCAUGAAACAAAUCCAUCUGCAGGCUCUCCUCCAUCUUUGCUUUGUCUCCAGUCCUGCCCUCACUGGCCAGUGUGUGUCACCCCACACUAUGGGACACACUGGAUGAAGAAAUGGGGCUUCAUUCAGUCCCUGGACAAGUUAGGCCAGCCUGGCAGUUGUCCAAAUCAGACACUUUUUUUUUGCAAUUACACUGAUUAAACCAGGAUGUAUUCAGGCAAACUGGGAAGAACAGUAUAGAUUAGCCACAUGGAGUCACACUAGAAAAGGGGCUAGAAUUACCUUGCU